UACGUAGGUGGCAAGCGUUGUCCGGAAUUAUUGGGCGUAAAGCGCGCGCAGGCGGCCUCUUAAGUCUGAUGUGAAAUCUUGCGGCUCAACCGCAAGCGGCCAUUGGAAACUGGGGGGCUUGAGUACAGAAGAGGAGAGUGGAAUUCCAGGUGUAGCGGUGAAAUGCGUAGAUAUCUGGAGGAACACCGGUGGCGAAGGCGGCAUCCUGGACCGAUAUUGACGCUGAGGAGCGAAAGCCAGGGGAGCAAACGGG
rnacentral:rRNA from 1 species